rnacentral:rRNA from 1 species
UACGUAGGCAGCAAGCGUUGUUCGGAGUUACUGGGCGUAAAGGGUGCGUAGGUGGCGCGCUAAGUCGGGUGUGAAAUUUCGGAGCUUAACUCCGAAACUGCAUUCGAUACUGGCGUGCUUGAGGACUGGAGAGGAGACUGGAAUUCAUGGUGUAGCAGUGAAAUGCGUAGAGAUCAUGAGGAAGACCAGUGGCGAAGGCGGGUCUCUGGACAGUUCCUGACACUGAGGCACGAAGGCCAGGGGAGCAAACGGG